rnacentral:rRNA from 1 species
CAAUAGCGUAUAUUAAAGUUGUUGCAGUUAAAAAGCUCGUAGUUGAAUUUCUGUCAGGAGUGACCGGGCCUUUGGAUGAACUUCCAUUGUUUUUUGCUCUGUUUGUCAUCUCUAGACAUCCUGAAAUAUUUUUUAAAAAUAUUUCUCUUUUACUGUUAGCAAAAUAGAGUGUUCCAAGCAAAGCGUAGUUUUGAAUACAUUAGAAUGGAAUAAUAAGAUAGGACUUUGGUGCUAUUUUGUUGGUUUGCACACCAAGGUAAUGAUUAAUAGGGACAGUUGGGGGUAUUCGUAUUUAAUCGUCAGAGGUGAAAUUCUUGGAUUUAUGAAAGACGAACUACUGCGAAAGCAUUUACCAAGGAUGUUUUCAUUAA